AAAAAUUUUGCUGAGCGGUUAAGGCGUGAGCCUAGAAAUCUCAUAAGGUUUCCCUGCGCAGGUUCAAGUCCUGCAGGUGUCA